rnacentral:sRNA from 1 species
AUUCCCAGUGUGGCCAAAGCCAUGGCUCUUAUCCACCUUUCGGCCACCCACUACCAUGAGCACCUGUGCCCUGCAUUGCCACUCGUCACCCCCAAGACCUUCCUAGACUUCCUGGACACUUUCCUGAUGCUGCAGCAACAGACAAUCCUGAAGAUUAAGAACAAGGCCCAGCGGUGAGUGUCCCGUCCCCUGCAGUGUACCUCCUUCUGCUCCUUUGGGUUUCCUCACCAGCACAUUGUAUCUCCAGGAUCCAGCAUGCCUUGGAGAAUCUGAGAAUGCUGACUAAGGAGCACGGUACCCAUGCCAAUCUGAUCUUUGACUUGGAACAGCAGCUGAAAGACUCCGGCAAGAGUCUCAGCAUGUUUCAGCAGCAGCUAGAGCAAAGCAAGCUCCUACACAAGCAGCAGCUGGAAGAGUGUCGGCAUCAAGAGAACCUCAUUGAGAACCUGGCCAGGCAACGGGAUGCCCUGCAAGCUCAGCAAGAGGCUUUCCUGGAGCAGAUGAGCAAGGCAUUUCUGGAGCCUCUGAGCCAGCUGCAGAUGGCUGACUUUGAGGAGAUACGGAGCUAUCGAGCACCACCAGAAUCUGUGGUCCGGGUGACUGAUGCAAUGUGUGACUUGUUCCACCAUGAAACAGGCUGGGCCAGUGCCAAACAGCUGUUAUGCACUGAGGAUUUUUAUCAGGUAGGAAGGGUGGAGCACAAUGAAGGAGGAUAGGGGAGGCAUAAAAGGGACACUUGGCAAGGCUAAACUGUUGGGUCAAGGUCCAGAGCACCCGUGUCCUCCCCAUCCCUUUAACAUACAUCCUUCCAGGAGCUGGUGUUCUUCCCCAAGGAGAAGAUAACAGACUCAGAGCUGAUAAAGUUACAUCUAAUUCUGAAGGCUCCAGGUAUGAACGAUGCAGCCCUGCGGGCAGUGAGCCGACCUGCAGCCAGCCUGGCUGCCUGGCUCUGGGCUGUUCUGCACUAUGGGCUGGCACAUUGCCGGGGACUGCCCACGGGCCUGCUGCUGCAGCAAGUGGAGGCAACACUCACUCGGGAGCAGGCCCGCCUGGGCUACUACCAGUUUCAGGCCCAGGAGACCCUGGAGCAUAAUUUGGCCCUGGCUAAGAUGGUGGAGGAUGCCCAAGCUUCCCACAAC